rnacentral:rRNA from 1 species
GACAGAGGUGCCGAGCGUUAGGCGGAAUCACUGGGCUUAAAGCGUGUGUAGGCGGAUUUGUAAGUACCUUGUGAAAUCCCACGGCUCAACCGUGGAACUGCUUGGUAUACUGCUUAUCUUGAGCCACUUAGGGGCAGUCGGAACAGACGGUGGAGCGGUGAAAUGCGUAGAUAUCAAGAGGAACACCAGUGGCGAGGGCGAGUCCCUGGACGAUACCUGACACUGAGGCACGAAAGCCAAGGGAGCAAACAGG